AUUGAACGCUGGCGGCAGGCCUAACACAUGCAAGUCGAGCGGAUGAAGGGAGCUUGCUCCUGGAUUCAGCGGCGGACGGGUGAGUAAUGCCUAGGAAUCUGCCUGGUAGUGGGGGAUAACGUCCGGAAACGGGCGCUAAUACCGCAUACGUCCUGAGGGAGAAAGUGGGGGAUCUUCGGACCUCACGCUAUCAGAUGAGCCUAGGUCGGAUUAGCUAGUUGGUGGGGUAAAGGCCUACCAAGGCGACGAUCCGUAACUGGUCUGAGAGGAUGAUCAGUCACACUGGAACUGAGACACGGUCCAGACUCCUACGGGAGACAGCAGUGGGGAAUAUUGGACAAUGGGCGAAAGCCUGAUCCAGCCAUGCCGCGUGUGUGAAGAAGGUCUUCGGAUUGUAAAGCACUUUAAGUUGGGAGGAAGGGCAGUAAGUUAAUACCUUGCUGUUUUGGCGUUACCAACAGAAUAAGCACCGGCUAACUUCGUG
rnacentral:rRNA from 1 species